rnacentral:rRNA from 1 species
GGGAAUCUGCCUUUUGGUUUGGAAUAACACGGGGAAACUUGUGCUAAUACCGAAUAAGCCCUUACGGGAAAGUUUUAAUGCCGAAAGAUGAGCCCGCACUUGAUUAGCUAGUUGGUAAGGUAAAAGCUUACCAAGGCAAUGAUCAAUAGCUGUUCUUAGAGGAAGACCAGCCACAUUGGGACUGAGACACGGCCCAGACUCCUACGGGAGGCAGCAGUGGGGAAUCUUGCACAAUGGGGGAAACCCUGAUGCAGCGAUGCCGCGUGAGUGAAGAAGGCCUUUGGGUUGUAAAACUCUUUCGUCGGGGAAGAAAAUGACUGUACCCGAAUAAGAAGGUCCGGCUAACUUCGUGCCAGCAGCCGCGGUAAUACGAAGGGACCUAGCGUAGUUCGGAAUUACUGGGCUUAAAGAGCUCGUAGGUGGUUAAAAUAGUUGAUGGUGAAAUCCCAAGGCUCAACCUUGGAACUGCCAUCAAAACUUUUUAGCUAGAGUGUGAUAGAGGUAAGUGGAAUUUCUAGUGUAGAGGUGAAAUUCGUAGAUAUUAGAAAGAACACCAAAUGCGAAGGCAACUUACUGGGUCACUACUGACACUGAGGAGCGAAAGCAUGGGUAGCGAAGAGGAUUAGAUACCCUCGUAGUCCAUGCCGUAAACGAUGUGUGCUAGACGUUGGAAAUAUAUUUUUCAGUGUCGCAGCGAAAGCAUUAAGCACA